rnacentral:rRNA from 1 species
GACGAACGCUGGCGGCGUGCUUAACACAUGCAAGUCGAGCGGAGCGGCGAACGGGGGCGUAACGCGUGAGUAACUGACCCCCUCUCUGGGAUAACAGUUGGAAACGGCUGCUAAUACCGGAUAGUGGGGGGGGACUCGCGUCCUGACAGAUUGUUGGUGGGGUAGUGGCCUACCAAGGCGACGACGGGUAGCCGGCCUGAGAGGGCGACCGGCCACAGUGGGCUGAGAUACGUCCCAAGCUCCUACGGGAGGCAGCAGUGGGGAAUAUUGCACAAUGGGGGGAGCCCUGAUGCAGAAACGUCGCGUGCGGGAUGACGGCCUUCGGGUUGUAAACCGCUUUCAGCCAUGACGCGGUAGUGGCAGAAGAAGCACCGGCUAACUACGUGCCAGCAGCCGCGGUAUAC